ensembl:snoRNA
CGGACCAGUGAUGUUUGUGAUGGGAAGAGCCCUGAACAGUGAAAACUGUGUUUGAAACUCUGAGGUCCAA